GCAUUAAUGGGGUAGUGGUAACCUGGGUCGUUGCCAUGUGCAAUGUUGGUCGACCCGCCGGGGGUUCGAUUCCCCCUUAAUGCA